AUUGAACGCUGGCGGCAUGCCUAACACAUGCAAGUCGAGCGGAUGAAGGGGGCUUGCUCCUGGAUGCAGCGGCGGACGGGUGAGUAAUGCCUAUGAAUCUGCCUGGUAGUGGGGGAUAACGUCCGGAAACGGGCGCUAAUACCGCAUACGUCCUGAGGGAGAAAGUGGGUGAUCUUCGGACCUCACGCUAUCAGAUGAGCAUAGGUCGGAUUAGCUAGUUGGUGGGGUAAAUGCCUACCAAGGUGACUAUCCGUAACUGGUCUGAGAGGAUGAUCUGUCACACUGGAACUGAGACAGGGUCGCGACUCCUGCGGGGGGCAGCAGUGGGGAAUAUUGGACAAUGGGCGAGAGCCUGAUACAGCCCUGCCGCGUGUGUGCAGAAGGUCUUAGGAUUGUAAAGCACUUUAAGUUGGGAGGAAGUGCAGUAAGUUAAUCCCUUGCUGUUUUGACGUUACCAACAGAAUAAGCACCGGCUAACUUCGUG
rnacentral:rRNA from 1 species